UCGGUUCUUGAUGGCAUGCUUCGCCUUCUUUCCGCUUACUCUGUUCUCACUUGCUCGACAAUCCAAGCUAAUGGGAAGGUUAUUAGGGUUUAUGGGUUGGCACCUGUCUCCAAGUACUUUAUUAAGAACUAGGAUGGUGUGUCUCUGGCACUAUUGCUCAAUUUUUGCCAUGACAAGGUCAUCUUAGAUAGCUGGUACUAUUACAACCUUUUACAAAACCUUGUUAAUUUAAUCAUUUUUGUUUUAACUUACAGUCUGACACGUGUGCAAAAACUUUUCAUGUUGUGUUAUAAACGAGUAAUUUAUCUAUACGCAUCAAACAAUGAUUUAUUUGCAAGUAAAGAAUCGAACAAAGUUCAUUUCUUUUGCAUCAGUGCAGUCAUCUUCAUAUGUCAUCGUUUAUGCAGGUACCAUUUGAAAGAUGCAGUUUUGGAAGGAGGACUCCCAUUUAGCAAGGCCUAUGGUAUGAAUGUGGUGGAUUACAUUGGUAGGGAUGACAGACUUGGUGGUGUGUUCAAGGACUCAAUGAAAGUGUUUAACCUCAUUUUUAAGAAGGAGAUUCUGGAGAUUUAUACGGGUUUUGAAGGUCUACGUACACUGGUAGAUGUGGGUGGUGGCGACGGUACUAUUCUUAACAGGAUAAUCCCCAAGCACCCUGCCAUCAAGGGCAUCAACUAUGAUUUGCCUUUGGUUGUCAAAAAGUCUCCCUUCUAUCCUGAGCACAUUGCAGGAGAUAUGUUUAUAAGGAUUCCGUAAGGUGAUGCCAUUUUCAUGAAGUUGGGAUGGCGAUUGAUGCUUGAUGAUAUUGAAGAAUUGCUAUAAGGCCUUGCUAGACAACGGAAAAGUUAUAGUGGUGGAUAUGGUGAUACAAGAAGCCCCUAAAACAAGUCUUUCUGCUAAAAGUUUGUCUCUGUUUGAUGUGUAUCGAAUGAAUACCAAUGUGUCGGGAAAUGAGAGAAUAGAGAGAGAAUUACAAAGUUUGGCAAAAGCAGCAAGAUUUUCAGAAAUUCGGGUAGCUUGUAUAAGUUUUACCUUUUCUGUCGUGAAACUGUUAAAGAAUAUGUAGUUUCCAAUUGGAUAUGUUUUGUUACUAUAAUC